rnacentral:sRNA from 1 species
GCUGGGCAUGGUGGCACAUGCCUGUAAUCCCAGCAGCUCAGGAGGCUGAGGCAGGAGGAUACCAAUUUCAAAGACAGCCUCAA